rnacentral:rRNA from 1 species
CCUACGGGUGGCAGCAGUGAGGAAUAUUGGUCAAUGGACGAGAGUCUGAACCAGCCAAGUAGCGUGAAGGAUGACUGCCCUAUGGGUUGUAAACUUCUUUUAUAUGGGAAGAAAACGUUCCACGUGUGGGAUUUUGUAUGUACCAUAUGAAUAAGGAUCGGCUAACUCCGUGCCAGCAGCCGCGGUAAUACGGAGGAUCCGAGCGUUAUCCGGAUUUAUUGGGUUUAAAGGGAGCGUAGGUGGAUUGUUAAGUCAGUUGUGAAAGUUUGCGGCUCAACCGUAAAAUUGCAGUUGAAACUGGCAGUCUUGAGUACAGUAGAGGUAGGCGGAAUUAGUGGUGUAGCGGUGAAAUGCUUAGAUAUAACGAAGAACUCCGAUUGCGAAGGCAGUUCACUGGACUGCAACUGACACUGAGGCUCGAGAGUGUGGGUAUCAAACAGGAUUAGAUACCCCGGUAGUC